UAGAAAAAUAAAAUGUCUCUAUUGUUGUUUUGUUUAUUCAAGAAAAGAACCACAAUAUAUAUAUAUAUUACAACAUUAAACUUGAUGGACCGAGAUUGGCCAAAGUCAAUCUCAAUCGUAUUUGUUUAAUCGAAAUCAAAUGAUUUAGAUUUUAAAAUACAAAACACUAGUUAGGUUUAAAAUCAGAAUCAUCCGAUCUCAAUUCAAAGAACACGCUUUAAUCUUUGGUAUGGAGGAAAUCUGAUUUGAACCUUGACCACAAUAGUUGUAGCCAAUGCCACGACCCUUGGUAAGGCAAACAUUGUAGUUAAAUAUGACAGGAGGGUAAUUAUAGUCAUAUACAACGACAGUCUCUGGUUUCCAACCAUCUCUUCCUUUCCUAAAUAAGUACAGUUCACAUAUCUGGCUGGUACAUUCUCCCAUUACAUCAAAUGAAACUGUGGUGCACCUCUUGAAUGCACCAGGGUCAUCCAAUCUUUUAACAUAAAGCUGCAAUUAUACAUCAAACCAGUACAUUACAUAAUUUCAUUAAAAAAAAAAUAAUUCAUAUAAACUAUUAAUUGUUCAUAUAAGUUGUCCUAGAGAGUUUAAGCUACAAAUUGUUUUUGGACAUGUCAGAAGAAAAUAAUACAUAACUAGUUAAGUAAAGUAUUUUUACUAAAAUCAUUCAAGUAUUUUAAAAUUGUGAAUGAGUACAUAAAAGAACCUUAGAGCCAAGAUCAUCUCCAAAUAAAAGACUGAUUUGAUCUGUUGUAUAUGCUGGAGAAUUGCAGCUUGUCUUUAUGGUGAUUAGGUAUUUGCACAUACUACUAAUCAGUCUAGUCUCAUUAAUCUGAAAAAUGCAUAUUGUCUCUUAUUCAAGAUACAAUAAAAUAUGAAAUUAUUUAAGAUACACAUUGAUUUGUAAACUAGUGACUAAACUUUUUAGGGCAAAAGGGACAAUAAUGAAAAGCUUUUUUUUGGUGUUGAAAAAAAAAAUGAAAAGAUAUAUACUGAAUAAAUAUGUUAUUAUGAAUGAUUUUUAAUUAAAGGGUAUUCCCUAGUUCGGAUAAAUGCUUAAAAAAAUAAAAAAAAAAUAACGAGAAGCUAAGUGAUAAAAUUGAUAUACUUGUUGAAGGGUAUGACUUAUUAGUGUAGAAGAUUGAUUCAUUUGAUCAGGUUGAGGAAGAGUGACCAAUGUUGGUGCUGCAUGUGAGAAGGCAACAAUGAUGGAGAAUGUGAAGAUUAAGGUAAGAGUUUUCAUAGUUUAUUAUGUGGUUGCCUAAAUUGAUUUUUAUUUUUAUUGUAUAACCUUUUUUUUUGUGAUUCAAGAGAAAAGAAGGAGGAACACCUAUAGCAUUAGAAAGGCCAGGACAAUAUU
rnacentral:lncRNA from 1 species